GCUCCUGCCGCCUCCUCCAUUCUGUGUUUGUUAAUUUAUGUCUGAACAACCUUUUCCUCUUGAGUCUGGCAGAAUAAGCAUCGCUCCUCUCCCUGUGAAAGCUCUCUUAUCAGCGAUGGCUCCUCAGCACCCUGCAGAUAAGAAGCCCAGGGGCCCCCAGCCUGCUCCCCUGUCCUUCAGCCAGAGCUGCUCCUGCUCCACAGCCCUGCAGCAACUUAAAGCAUCCAGAAAUGGGCCUUUCAUUUAGAAGAACAUGAAAUUGAGAUAAACCAGGGAUGAGGGCAGGAGGAGCUGGUCAAAAAUCCCAGUGGUUGCACAGGAACUUGCUGAAGUUGCAAUAAUGUAAAGUGAG